CCUACGGGUGGCAGCAGUGGGGAAUAUUGGACAAUGGGGGCAACCCUGAUCCAGCCAUGCCGCGUGUGUGAAGAAGGCCCUCGGGUUGUAAAGCACUUUCAGUGAGGAAGAACGCCUGGUGGUUAAUACCCAUCAGGAAAGACAUCACUCACAGAAGAAGCACCGGCUAACUCCGUGCCAGCAGCCGCGGUAAUACGGAGGGUGCGAGCGUUAAUCGGAAUUACUGGGCGUAAAGCGCGCGUAGGUGGCUUGAUAAGCCGGUUGUGAAAGCCCCGGGCUCAACCUGGGAACGGCAUCCGGAACUGUCAAGCUAGAGUGCAGGAGAGGAAGGUAGAAUUCCCGGUGUAGCGGUGAAAUGCGUAGAGAUCAGGAGGAAUACCAGUGGCGAAGGCGGCCUUCUGGACUGACACUGACACUGAGGUGCGAAAGCGUGGGUAGCAAACAGGAUUAGAUACCCUAGUAGUC
rnacentral:rRNA from 1 species